AUCCCCAGAUCCUGAGGCCAAGGCUGAAAACAUAGUAGGGGCUUCAGAACAGUUUAACAUUUUGAAUGGACGAAAUGCAAAAUUAGCUUAGCAACCGAUUCAGAAGAAUCACUCAGCCUGGAGCAACUGUGUGGUAUCAGUCCUAACAAACAUGGAAUCUCUCUGAAAUUCUCUGUCCCUGUUUCCAUUGUUAUAGUUAGGCUCUCUCCAUUUGGUUCAGAAGAGAUACACACAGACUCUCUCCAGAAUCCACGGCAGAAAGAAAUAGCCUCUGGGUGUCAAACUAAUAAUCUUUUGACUGGCUGGAAGUGAAUAUGGCCACACAAUGAUUGACCUCAACAUGCCAGAUUAUUGAUUGGGCUGGAGAUGCCAAAGCCAUCAUUUUCUUGGAGCAGUCACCCGCUUUUGUCUUGAUCCUGUCCACAGCUGUCACACUGUGGUGAGCCAUUGAGAGAGUCCACAUUUGCAUCCUUCAUGCAUUUAGGCUUCUCUGCUUAAAAUAAAAAUGCCACCACUUGAAAGGCUGAGUUGUUGGUUCUGGUUUUUAAAAAAUUAUCUCAUUAAAAGCCAAGGGUUUGUGUUUAGUUGAGAGCAGAGGGACCGACAUGCAGAAUAUGUAAAAGUGCUUUAUGGGGGAUAUUUAAUUUGGGGGGAAAAUAAUGAGAAUAAAAAUUGUUUCAAUAUGUUUUCUGUAUUGUGUCAAUAUAUCACACAGCUCCUUUCUGGAGUCACAUUUGCUGUUAGGGUGGUUGGGAUUUUUGUGGUUUUUUGUUGUUGUUCUCUGUUGAAUUACAAUUUUCAGCAGUAAAUGAAACUGGCACAAAAGCAGGUGUUAUUAAAACUGGGCAGGAAAAGGACAAUAACAACAUAAUUCCACUUUAAAGGCUGAUAUGUGUAUGGUUGAAAUGACUUUGGUUGGAACCCAUAAGGAAUAGAACAUACACCAUAAAGAAAAUGGAUUUCAGCAACACAUAAACAAAAGGCAAAUGACUAAUAUAUUUACAUAUAACAUGUGGUGUAUUCAUUGCACACCAUGGUGACAGAAUUGUUUAUUUCAUUUAUAAUUUAUACAGAAAAACCUUAUUAAAUGUGUAACUAGUUUGCCAGAUGAUAAUAUACAUAGGAGAUUAGGCUUCCAUUAUAGAAUACCAUUAACAACAAAAGUUGUUCAUUUGUGAGUUCAUUUUUUUUACCAGUCCUUUCUUUUCUGUAAUGUAUCCUCUGAACAGAAUUCUUUCUUCAGUUAUGGUGACACCAUGGUAAGAAGAAAGUGGCCGUGAAUUUCUAGAGGAGAGAGGUGUACCAGUGGACAUCAAGAUUGCACAGUAUGAUGACGUGAGGUGGGAAAAGCCAUCCCAUUUGCCUAUUCUCCUGAAAAGAGGAAUACUAAAGCUAGAAUAUCUAGCCAUUCAAUAAAGAUUAAUUUUCUACACUA